rnacentral:rRNA from 1 species
UACGUAGGGUGCAAGCGUUGUCCGGAAUUAUUGGGCGUAAAGAGCUCGUAGGCGGUUUGUCGCGUCCGCUGUGAAAAUCCAGGGCUUAACCCUGGACCUGCAGUGGGUACGGGCAGACUAGAGUGCGGGUAGGGGAGAUCGGAAUUCCUGGUGUAGCGGUGGAAUGCGCAGAUAUCAGGAGGAACACCAAUAGCGAAGGCAGCUCGCUGGGACGGUACUGACGCUGAGGCGCGAAAGCGUGGGGAGCAAACAGG